rnacentral:rRNA from 1 species
ACGGGUGAGUAAUGCCUAGGAAUCUGCCUGGUAGUGGGGGACAACGUUUCGAAAGGAACGCUAAUACCGCAUACGUCCUACGGGAGAAAGCAGGGGACCUUCGGGCCUUGCGCUAUCAGAUGAGCCUAGGUCGGAUUAGCUAGUAGGUGAGGUAAUGGCUCACCAAGGCGACGAUCCGUAACUGGUCUGAGAGGAUGAUCAGUCACACUGGAACUGAGACACGGUCCAGACUCCUACGGGAGGCAGCAGUGGGGAAUAUUGGACAAUGGGCGAAAGCCUGAUCCAGCCAUGCCGCGUGUGUGAAGAAGGUCUUCGGAUUGUAAAGCACUUUAAGUUGGGAGGAAGGGCAGUAAAUUAAUACUUUGCUGUUUUGACGUUACCGACAGAAUAAGCACCGGCUAACUCUGUGCCAGCAGCCGCGGUAAUACAGAGGGUGCAAGCGUUAAUCGGAAUUACUGGGCGUAAAGCGCGCGUAGGUGGUUUGUUAAGUUGGAUGUGAAAUCCCCGGGCUCAACCUGGGAACUGCAUCCAAAACUGGCAAGCUAGAGUAUGGUAGAGGGUGGUGGAAUUUCCUGUGUAGCGGUGA